rnacentral:tRNA from 1 species
UGGGAUGUGGCUCAGUUGGUAGAGUGCUUGCCUAGCAUGCAUGAAGCCCUGGGCUCCANCCCAAGCACCACAU